UUUUCUUCGGUGCUUGCUGAUGCAACUUGUGCUUGCCUGAAUAUCUUGUCUAAUUUAUUCUCUGGAUAUGUUGUAGUAGUUCUUAAGUUUAACAGCUGUGUAACUUGUUCCGUUCAGCAGCACAUUAAUCCAUUUGCAGCAUGUCCUGGUCACCUCGGCAGGGAGCAAUGAUGGGAGAAAGAAGCAGUCCAUCAGGCAAGCAGCAUUGACACAUUUCACGAAGGCUGUUGUCAUUACCAACUUGAAGCUCACAGCACAAAUAUGGAGAUCAACCUUGAAGGUAUGGUCCCUCUCCCUGCACUAACUUUAAGUUUACUGAACGAAUGUUGCUGCUUUUCUGGUCGUGGGGAGCCGUGGCGGAUGGGGCGCGAAGCUGGGCAGGCCGCCGUCGCUGCCAACACGUUGCUAACCUGCACGCUAGGGCUAGGCUGAGGCGUGGACGCCGCGGCAGCCCGUGGCUAGGCAAGGUGUGGCCUGCGUAGCAGGCGGAGAAGGCGGGGUGCGGCAUGUAUGGCUGAGCCGCGGUGACCGGCGGCGCUAGCUGAUGCGCCAUGGAGCGGCAAUGCCUCGAUGUGAGGUUUACGUUAAGAGCACGUUUUUUACUCACUCCAUCUGCAAGCCUCAAGUAACCCCUUCAUUGACCAACUAUUUCUACUGUUUUUUGGCUUUUCUAUAUAGUUAGGAUAAGCCUCAAGUAACCCCUUCAUUGACCAACUAUUUCUACUGUUUUUUGGCUUUUCUAUAUAGUUAGGAUACUAUGGUUCUGUAAUGUUGUACAGUCUCAGUGUCAGAUAAAUGGACAAUAUUUUAAAAUUAUGACCAGGGAGCUUUUCAGGAUACAUCCUAGUAGUAGUAUUUUUUGGAUAGAUUUAUUUCAUUAAUUGUUAUAUGUUGACCAGGGAGCUUGGUUCUGUCCAAUAGAUAUGCAUGAACCUAGAGCUAACUCUAAUCUAUAUAUCUUUGACUAAUUUGGCUACCAUUUGCUUCUUUCAGAUUGGUUAAUAGUGUGGUAUGGAGGAUGUCUCAGUAAAGUGAAAAGCCUCAGUAAUGUUUAGGGGUAGCUACAACUCUUUUUGUUAGCUCGAUGAAUAUUCAAGAUGUUGAAAUGGCUAUGGUUCUUUGUCAUUUUGGACAUGUGACUUAGAUGUAGCGUGAUGUAUAUUGCUACCUAGAUGUAUGAGUUUGACAAUAUAAUUUUUUACAACCUGGGAUUUUGUCAAGAUUGUGUAAUUGAUGAGUGAGUGGGCUGAAAAACAAUUGCGGGCUCUAGCAAGCCAAUUUUAA